UACGUAGGGUGCGAGCGUUGUCCGGAAUUAUUGGGCGUAAAGGGCUCGUAGGCGGUUUGUCGCGUCGGGAGUGAAAUCCACUGGCUUAACUGGUGGCUUGCUUUCGAUACGGGCAGACUGGAGGUAUGCAGGGGAGAACGGAAUUCCUGGUGUAGCGGUGAAAUGCGCAGAUAUCGGGGAGGAACACCUAUGGCGAAGGCAGCUCGCUGGGACGUUACUGAGCUGAGACGCGAAAGCGUGGGGAGCAAACAGG
rnacentral:rRNA from 1 species